AGUGAACGCUGGCGGUAUGCCUAACACAUGCAAGUCGAACGGCAGCACAGUAAGAGCUUGCUCUUACGGGUGGCGAGUGGCGGACGGUUGAGUAAUACAUCGGAAUCUACUUUUUCGUGGGGGAUAACGUAGGGAAACGUACGCUAAUACCGCAUACGACCUACUGGUGAAAGCAGGGGAUCUUCUAACCUUUCGCUAUUGAAUGAGCCUAUGUCGGAUUAGCUAGUUGGCGGGGUAAAGGCCCACCAAGGCCACGAUCCGUAGCUGGUCUGAGAGGAUGAUCCGCCACACUGGAACUGAGACACGGUCCAGACACCUACGCGAGGAAGCAGUGGGGACUAUUGGACAAUGGGGGCAAGCGUGAUACAGCACUAUCGCGUGGGUCCAGAUGGACUUCGGGUUGUAAAGCCAUUUUGUUGGGAAAGAAAAGCAGCAGGUUAACACCCCGCUGUUAUGACGGUACCCAAAGAAUAAGCACCGGCUAACUUCGUG
rnacentral:rRNA from 1 species